rnacentral:rRNA from 1 species
UACGGGGGGAGCAAGCGUUGUUCGGAAUUACUGGGCGUAAAGGGCGUGUAGGCGGCUUUGCAAGUCAGGCGUGAAAUUCAUCGGCUCAACUGAUGACCUGCGUUUGAAACUGCUCGGCUUGAGUACGGGAGAGGAAAGCGGAAUUCUCGGUGUAGCGGUGAAAUGCGUAGAUAUCGAGAAGAACACCAGUGGCGAAGGCGGCUUUCUGGCCCGAUACUGACGCUAAGGCGCGAAAGCUAGGGGAGCAAACAGGAUUAGAUACCCCCGUA